AAUGAACGCUGGCGGCGUGGAUUAGGCAUGCAAGUCGAACGAGAAUGCGAAAUUUAUUUCGCUAGUACAGUGGCGAACGGGUGAGUAACGCGUGGGAAACCUACCCUGGAGUGGGGGAUAACAUUCCUAACGGAAUGCUAAUACCGCAUAAUAUUUUCCAUCGCAUGGUGGAAAAUCAAAGGUGGCCUCUACUUGUAAGCUGACGCUUUAGGAUGGUCCCGCGUCCAAUUAGCUAGUUGGUAGGGUAACGGCCUACCAAGGCGACGAUUGGUAGCCGGCCUGAGAGGGUGACCGGCCACACUGGGACUGAGACACGGCCCAGACUCCUACGGGAGGCUG
rnacentral:rRNA from 1 species